rnacentral:lncRNA from 1 species
AAUUUUUGUCCCGUUGAAGGAGAAUUUUUUCCAUAGAUUUCAGUAGAAACAGAGUUUUGUUGUUGGUAUGUAGUAAGUGAAGUCUGAACUGGAAUCUGUUGCAGGCACAGAAAGGCUGCCUGUUUGGUUUGCCUUGGCCGAGGCCUAAAGUCACUUCCUGAUGACUCUUGUCUGCCAUGGUUCCUUCAUGUGUUCAUAGUCCCUAUGUCUAUAUCAGAGGGAUCCAAACUCUCCAGCUGGUACUGUGCUUACUAGAUUGGCUAGUGACUGAACGGAAUCCCUGAAAGAUUUCUGUUUCAUGCAUUCUCCUCAGGGCUGUGAUUUUAACAGACCAGUGAAAGAAAAAAUUUCAAAAGAAAAGGAAACUGAAGAAGUUAAUUGUACCAGAGCAGAAUCCAGAGAAGCUGAACGGCUUCCCGAAGAGCACUGAGUUUUCUAUACCAGAUUCUGCUCCAGUGGCUAGGACCUUUAUGGCUGCUGUUUCUUUUGCUCUGGGCUCUGAUGGAAGAAAAAAAAAAAAAGCCACCGUGGAUCCUGUCCCUAAAGUAGAAAUUUUCUUUUUCCUUCUGCAAACA